rnacentral:rRNA from 1 species
AUUGAACGCUGGCGGCAUGCUUUACACAUGCAAGUCGAACGGUAACAGGGAGCUUGCUCCGCUGACGAGUGGCGAACGGGUGAGUAAUGCGUCGGAACGUGCCGAGUAGUGGGGGAUAACGCAGCGAAAGUUGUGCUAAUACCGCAUACGUACUGAGGUAGAAAGUGGGGGACCUUCGGGCCUCACGCUAUUCGAGCGGCCGACGUCUGAUUAGCGAGUAGGUGAGGUAAAGGCUCACCUAGGCGACGAUCAGUAGCGGGCCGGAGAGGAUGAUCCGCCACAAUGGAACUGAGACCCGGCCCAGACCCGUACGGGGGGCAGCAGUGGGGAAUUUUGGACAAUGGGCGAAAGCCUGAUCCAGCCAUGCCGCGUGUCUGAAGAAGGCCUUCGGGUUGUAAAGGACUUUUGUCGGGGAGGAAAUCCCCAGCGUUAAUACCGCUGGGGGAUGACAGUACCUGAAGAAUAAGCACCGGCUAACUACGUGCCAGCAGCCGCGGUAAGAC